rnacentral:rRNA from 1 species
GAUCUCUUUGAGGCCCGUUAUCGGAAUGAGAACAAUUCAAAUCCUUUAACGAGGAUCUAGCGGAGGGCAAGUCUGGUGCCAGCAGCCGCGGUAAUUCCAGCUCCGCAGGUGUAUAUCUAUGCUGCUGCGGUUAAAAAGCUCGUAGUUGGAUCUGCGUGCUCGGAACUGGUUGGCUCACUGAGUUCAAACUGGUCUCCGGCGCUUUAUUGGCUGGUUUUCCCUUGAUGCUCUUAACCGGGUGCCUUGGUGGCUAGCACGUUUACUUUGAAAAAAUUAGAGUGCUCAAUACAGGCGUAAAGCCUUGAAUAGUGGUGCAUGGAAUAAUAGAAUAGGACCUCGGCUCUAUUUUGUUGGUUUUCGGAACGCGAGGUAAUGAUUAAGAGGGACAGACGGGGGCAUUCGUAUUGCGACGUUAGAGGUGAAAUUCUUGGAUCGUCGCAAGACGGACGACUGCGAAAGCAUUUGCCAAGAAUGUUUUCAUUAAUCAAGAACGAAAGUUAGAGGUUCGAAGGCGAUCAGAUACCGCCCUAGUUCUAACCGUAAACGAUGCCAACUAGCGAUUCGCAGGCGUUAAACAACGACCUUGCGGGCAGCUUCCCGGAAACGAAAGUGUUCGGGUUCCGGGGGAAGUAUGGUUGCAAAGCUGAAACUUAAAGGAAUUGACGGAAGGGCACCACCAGGAGUGGAGCCUGCGGCUUAAUUUGACCCAACACAGGAAAACUCACCCGGCCCGGACACCGUAAGGAUUGACAGAUUGAGAGCUCUUUCUUGAUUCGGUGGGUGGUGGUGCAUGGCCGUUCUUAGUUGGUGGAGCGAUUUGUCUGGUUUAUUCCGAUAACGAACGAGACUCUGGCCUACUAAAUAGUGGGCGGAUUCUUUCUGUCCGCAACACUUCUUAGAGGGACAAGCGGUGUUCAGCCGCACGAGAUUGAGCAAUAACAGGUCUGUGAUGCCCUUAGAUGUCCGGGGCUGCACGCGCGCUACACUGAAGGAAUCAGCGUGCUUUCUGACCUUGCCCGAAAGGGCUGGGUAACCCGAUGAAAAUCCUUCGUGAUUGGGAUAGGGACUUGCAAUUAUUUCCCUUGAACGAGGAAUUCCCAGUAAGUGUGGGUCAUAAGCUCGCGUUGAUUACGUCCCUGCCCUUUGUACACACCGCCCGUCGCUGCCCGGAACUGAGCCGUUUCGAGAAGAACAGGGACCGUCGUUGAAGGACCUUAACGGGCUUUUCUCUGAUAGAAA